CACAGCAAGACCACCCGUUAGGGGACUGGAGCUCAGAGGGUCCCUGGAGAACAGGACCAACGGUGUCUUUUCAUCAAAGAACGGCAGAACAGCGUCUUUUCACCAAAGAACAAACGACUGGGAGGUGGAGGCAGAUGCUCUGCGUUGGUCUCAGUUACAGACUCGGAAGUUGAGGGCGACUUCGGAGUCACAGAUUUGGUUGUCACCAAAGUUCCUUGUCUCAGCGACGAGGGGCUGCCUUAGACGUCAGGAUGAGGAGACUUCAAGCUGGCUCAUUCUAUCCUGGUAGAAGGGAAAUCCAGGCAUCGGGUCCUGCAGUGGUCAGCGCUGGCUCCGUCCGACUCCGUGCGAAUCGCCUUGGGUUUGUCCCUUUUGUCGCCGAGGCUCUGGAGAUGCUCAGACCGUAAGUGCCAGACCCACACCAGCUCUCUUCUGUUUUUGAGGAUGGAUAGCAAACAUUUCAACUGUGGUGCUUCUCAUUCUGCCUGCUCAGCUGUGUCUCUUCUUCCUGGUUCAUUCCUCGGAGCAGCACCCUCGGUGUCUACAGUAAUUGACAUUACAUCAACGUCUGCUUGCAGGAGGGAAGGCCUGAAGCAAUGUCAGCAUCAGGGAAAAGACUAACUCAUGGCCUGGGUUGUGCACAGGCAUCUGAUCUUAUGCUAUUCCAAGCUGGGUGUUGAAAUGGAAGCGCAGUGGGUGACUACACGAUACAGUUGUGUUUUCAUUUCUCAAGGAAGGCUCUGACUGUCCUGCUGCUUGGCACACAACUUGCAUUUUGACUUUUUACCUUUAGAAUUUUCUUUCCAUUUUAAGUGGC
rnacentral:lncRNA from 1 species